rnacentral:lncRNA from 1 species
AAUUAAAAUUAUCUAAAUAAAUAUUAAUUUAUAUAAUUGAGGACUAUACAAAAAUACCCUUAACCCUAAGUAACACUAACUCCAAUAACAAAACUAAAAAAUAGAUGAAUUAUAAUGGCAAUCCACCCUGAUUACUGAACAAUGAUAAUUUUAUUAAUCACUUCGAGAUAUUGCAUUUCCAAGCAAUGAAACUUCAUCUCUUGCAAACAAGGUGUAGGAUAUAUAUAUAUAUAUAUAUAUAUAUAUAUGACAACAAAAAGAUGACUGCAAGAGAAGCCAAACAAGGUGUAGGAUAUAUAUAUAUAUAUAUAUAUAUAUUCUUAUUCUUAUCAUUGUUGGCAUUUUCAUCUCUUGCAAUGAAACUUCAUCAAGCACUACCAGAGAUGAUAUAUCUUCAUAUUAUCUUUUCAUUAAGAAGCAAUCAUCCUCAUCCCAGUCAAAUAAUGCCUCUUCAGUUUCCUUUCUCGCACGUUACUUGACCUGCAAGGAACCAAGUCUCGACUAUAUUAUCCGGACUUUUUUAGAAAAAUAUUCGGCUCUAAAACCUAUGUUUACGCACCAGUACUGAUUGUUCAAUACAAAUGAGUCAAUUGCCACUUUUUUCCCAUCAUCAUUUCGGUUCCAGUGAUAGACUGCAUGUGUUCUGUUCAUGAUCUCCAGUGUCGAAUGGCCGUAACUGGCUUCCCGGAAUGCUGAAUAAUCCGGUUGGGGAUCUCUAAACCUACACCAUCGAUAUAACAUUUGCUAAAAACAAUAAGAAAAUGCCGUUUCUUAUAGAUUGAAUGUUAUACUGGUAUGUAUCAAAGACGGAUUUCGGAC